rnacentral:tRNA from 1 species
AAUAAAGUAAGCUAAAAAUUAAGCUGUUGGGUUCAUACCCCAAAAAUGAAAUGAGUAUUCCUUUAUUA